UUGCUCGUAUAAGCCUUUGUAGAGGUGUUUGGAACAUUGAUGUACGUUACGGUUGACGAGGUAUUGUUAGAGUAAUUUAUUCAUAAAUUUUCGUAAAGUUUAGUUCUAAUAUUCAUACAUAUUGGAAAUAUGUUAUGCGUUUAAAUAUAUAUGAAUAAUUUUGGUUGUCUGUGUAAUAGUUAUUAUGAUUCGUUAAAUUAGUU
rnacentral:lncRNA from 1 species